ACUCAUCACCCUGUGACAUACCUAAAACGUUGCUUCGGCGGGAACAGACGGCCCUGUAACAACGGGCCGCCCCCGCCAGAGGACCCCUAACUCUGUCUUUAUAAUGUUUUUCUGAGUAAACAAGCAAAUAAAUUAAAACUUUCAACAACGGAUCUCUUGGCUCUGGCAUCGAUGAAGAACGCAGCGAAAUGCGAUAAGUAAUGUGAAUUGCAGAAUUCAGUGAAUCAUCGAAUCUUUGAACGCACAUUGCGCCCGCCAGUAUUCUGGCGGGCAUGCCUGUUCGAGCGUCAUUACAACCCUCAGGCCCCCGGGCCUGGCGUUGGGGAUCGGCGGAAGCCCCCUGUGGGCACACGCCGUCCCUCAAAUACAGUGGCGGUCCCGCCGCAGCUUCCAUUGCGUAGUAGCUAACACCUCGCAACUGGAGAGCGGCGCGGCCAUGCCGUAAAACACCCAACUUCUGAAUGUUGACCUCGAAUCAGGUAGGAAUACCCGCUGAACUUAAGCAUAUCAAUAAGCGGAGGA
rnacentral:rRNA from 1 species